rnacentral:tRNA from 1 species
GCGGGAGUAGCUCAGUUGGUAGAGCUUCAGCCUUCCAAGCUGAACGUCGCGAGUUCGAGUCUCGUCUCCCGCU